rnacentral:tRNA from 1 species
GCCUGGCUGGCUCAGUUGGUUGAGCGUCUGACUUCGGCUCAGGUCGUGAUUUUGCGGUUCGUGGGUUCAAGCCCCACAUCGGGCU